rnacentral:rRNA from 1 species
GACGAACGCUGGCGGCGUGCUUAACACAUGCAAGUCGAACGGUAAGGCCCUUCGGGGUACACGAGUGGUGAACGGGUGAGUAACACGUGGGUGAUCUGCCCUGAACUUCGGGAUAAGCCUGGGAAACUGGGUCUAAUACCGGAUAGGACCGUGGGAUGCAUGUCCUGGGGGGGAGAGCUUUUGCGGUGUGGGAUGGGCCCGCGGCCUAUCAGCUUGUUGGUGGGGUGAUGGCCUACCAAGGCGACGACGGUAGCCGGCCUGAGAGGGUGACCGGCCACACUGGGACUGAGAUACGGCCCAGACUCCUACGGGAGGCAGCAGUGGGGAAUAUUGCACAAUGGGCGCAAGCCUGAUGCAGCGACGCCGCGUGAGGGAUGACGGCCUUCGGGUUGUAAACCUCUUUCAGCACCGACGAAGCGCAAGUGACGGUAGGUGCAGAAGAAGGACCGGCCAACUACGUGCCAGCAGCCGCCGUAA